AUUGAACGCUGGCGGCAGGCCUAACACAUGCAAGUCGAGCGGUAGCACAGGGGAGCUUGCUCCCUGGGUGACGAGCGGCGGACGGGUGAGUAAUGUCUGGGAAACUGCCUGAUGGAGGGGGAUAACUACUGGAAACGGUAGCUAAUACCGCAUAACGUCGCAAGACCAAAGAGGGGGACCUUCGGGCCUCUUGCCAUCAGAUGUGCCCAGAUGGGAUUAGCUAGUAGGUGGGGUAAUGGCUCACCUAGGCGACGAUCCCUAGCUGGUCUGAGAGGAUGACCAGCCACACUGGAACUGAGACACGGUCCAGACACCUACGGGAGGCUG
rnacentral:rRNA from 1 species